rnacentral:snRNA from 1 species
AGAGGUAAGGGAGAUGUAGCUGUAAUAUACGUUAAUGCCCUGUUCAAGGGUUGCCUCAGCUGAUCUGGCUAGCUGGACCUUUCCUCCCUCACCACACCAUGUGUGUCCUUCCUAAAGCUGCCUGCUUGACCGACAAGAGCCAUACCACAAUAAAGAAGGACAGUUUUCCANCAAGAGUAUCGGCU